AUACGGAGGAUCCGAGCGUUAUCCGGAUUUAUUGGGUUUAAAGGGUGCGCAGGCGGAAGAUUAAGUCGGCGGUGAAAUUUUGCAGCUCAACUGUAAAAGUGCCAUCGAUACUGGUUUUCUUGAGUGUGGAUGAAGUAGGCGGAAUUUGUGGUGUAGCGGUGAAAUGCAUAGAUAUCACGAGGAACUCCGAUUGCGCAGGCAGCUUACUAGGCCAUAACUGACGCUCAGGCACGAAGGCGUGGGGAUCAAACAGGAUUAGAUACCCUGGUAGUCCACGCAGUAAACGAUGAUUACUCGCUGUUUGCGAUACACAGUAAGCGGCUUAGCGAAAGCGUUAAGUAAUCCACCUGGGGAGUACGCCGGCAACGGUGAAACUCAAAUGAAUUGACGGGG
rnacentral:rRNA from 1 species